CAGCAGCCGCGGUAAUACGGAGGAUCCGAGCGUUAUCCGGAUUUAUUGGGUUUAAAGGGUGCGUAGGUGGUUUGAUAAGUCAGCGGUGAAAGUUUGCAGCUUAACUGUAAAAAUGCCGUUGAAACUGUCGGACUUGAGUGUAAAUGAGGUAGGCGGAAUGCGUGGUGUAGCGGUGAAAUGCAUAGAUAUCACGCAGAACUCCGAUUGCGAAGGCAGCUUACUAAGCUACGACUGACACUGAAGCACGAAAGCGUGGGGAUCAAACAGGAUUAGAUACCCUGGUAGUCCACGCAGUAAACGAUGAUUACUAGCUGUUUGCGAUACACAGUAAGCGGCACAGCGAAAGCGUUAAGUAAUCCACCUGGGGAGUACGCCGGCAACGGUGAAACUCAAAGGAAUUGACGGGGGCCCGCACAAGCGGAGGAACAUGUGGUUUAAUUCGAUGAUACGCGAGGAACCUUACCCGGGUUUGAACGUAGGGAGACAGGGGUGGAAACAUCCUUUUCAGCAAUGACUGCCUACGAGGUGCUGCAUGGUUGUCGUCAGCUCGUGCCGUGAGGUGUCGGCUUAAGUGCCAUAACGAGCGCAACCCUUAUUUCCAGUUACUAACAGGUAAUGCUGAGGACUCUGGAGAGACUGCCAGCGUAAGCUGUGAGGAAGGUGGGGAUGACGUCAAAUCAGCACGGCCCUUACAUCCGGGGCGACACACGUGUUACAAUGGUAAGGACAAAGGGCAGCUACCGGGCGACCGGAUGCGAAUCUCUAAACCUUAUCUCAGUUCGGAUCGGAGUCUGCAACUCGACUCCGUGAAGCUGGAUUCGCUAGUAAUCGCGCAUCAGCCAUGGCGCGGUGAAUACGUUCCCGGGCCUUGUACACACCGCCCGUCAAGCCAUGGGAGCCGGGGGUACCUGAAGUUCGUAACCGCAAGGAUCGACCUAGGGUAAAACUGGUGACUGGGGCUAAGUCGUAACAAGGUAGCCGU
rnacentral:rRNA from 1 species